CAGUGUACCCGCGGCAAGACGGAAAGACCCCGUGAACCUUUACUAUAGCUUGACACUGAACACUGGUCCUUGAUGUGUAGGAUAGGUGGGAGGCUUUGAAGCGUGGACGCCAGUCUGCGUGGAGCCAUCCUUGAAAUACCACCCUUUAAUGGCUGGUGUUCUAACGUAGACCCGUGAUCCGGGUUGCGGACAGUGUCUGGUGGGUAGUUUGACUGGGGCGGUCUCCUCCCAAAGAGUAACGGAGGAGCACGAAG
rnacentral:rRNA from 1 species